GCUGGGCGUGGUGGCGCAUGCCUGUAAUCCCAGCCUGCUCAGGAGGCAGAGGCAGGAGGAUCGCAAGGUCAAAGCCAGCCUGAGCAAUUUAGUGAGGUGCUAAGCAACUCAGUGAGACUCUGUCUCUA
rnacentral:sRNA from 1 species